GGGCUAACAUGAGUGCGGGCUUGCCUGCCAUCUCUUACCCAUGUCUUUUGAGUACCUUCGUUUCCUCGGCGGGUUCGCCCGCCGGUUGGACAACACUUAAACCCUUUGUAAUUGAAAUCAGCGUCUGAAAAACUUUAAUAGUUACAACUUUCAACAACGGAUCUCUUGGUUCUGGCAUCGAUGAAGAACGCAGCGAAAUGCGAUAAGUAGUGUGAAUUGCAGAAUUCAGUGAAUCAUCGAAUCUUUGAACGCACAUUGCGCCCCUUGGUAUUCCAUGGGGCAUGCCUGUUCGAGCGUCAUUUGUACCUUCAAGCUCUGCUUGGUGUUGGGUGUUUGUCUCGCCUUUUGCGCGCAGACUCGCCUCAAAACGAUUGGCAGCCGGCGUAUUGAUUUCGGAGCGCAGUACAUCUCGCGCUUUGCACUCACAACGACGACGUCCAAAAAGUACAUUUUUACACUCUUGACCUCGGAUCAGGUAGGGAUACCCGCUGAACUUAAGCAUAUCAAA
rnacentral:rRNA from 1 species